GCAAGCCCGCCGGAAAUGGAGAGAUUCCCACCGGGACCUGAAAGAAGGGGACAUUGUGCUCCUGAAGGACAAUCAAGCCGCACGCAACGUGUGGCCUAUGGCGAUGAUCACAGCUGUCUUUCCAGGGAGAGACAGCAAAGUAAGGAAGGUGGAGCUCAGGACAUCGGAUCAAGGUUCUCCGAAGGUGUUCCUAAGACCUGUGUCAGAAGUAGUUCUCCUUCUGCCAAAAGACUGUAGUUAAAGGACAGAGACAUUUAAAAGCUCAUAGUGACCUUUAAGGUCAGACGGGGAGUAUUCUGCCCUUCAGGCAUUUCAUUUGAAUUGAAUGCUUUAAAUUUGUGUUUCAUCCAGACUUUUAUUUUGACGUUGUAUUUUCGAGCUGCACAGGAAGCAGGAAGGAAAAUAGUUUAGAUCACGUUAGAAUGCGCGCGUAGAAAACGUUGGAAACGGCAGGUUGUUUGGGAGUGCAGACGGUCACUACCCCAGAGAAAGGCUUCUUGCAUGUUGGUUCCCCAGCAGAGGCAUCGCUUUUUCACUCUCUUUCAUCUUUUGAUCUCUUGAUCUUAUCUACAUGGAUUCAAUACAAUGUGAAGAAUGAAAAUAAAUCUACAAACAAGAA